GAUGGAGGCAGCGGGAGGGGAGCCGGGGGGGAGGCAGAGGGAGGUGGCUGCAGCCAUGGCCAUGGAUAUGGAUGACCUGGGCUGCCCGCGGUGCAAGACCACCAAGUACCGCAACCCCUCCUUGAAGCUAAUGGUGAACGUCUGCGGACACACGCUAUGUGAGAGCUGUGUGGAACUGCUGUUUGUGAGAGGGGCUGGGAAUUGCCAUGAGUGUGAUACCCUUCUGCGAAAAAGUAACUUCAGGGUACAGCUCUUUGAGGAUCCUGCUAUUGACAAGGAAGUGGAAAUUAGGAAGAAAGUGCUGAAAAUAUACAAUAAAAGAGAGGAUGACUUUCCCAGUCUAAGUGAAUAUAAUGAUUUCCUAGAAGAAAUAGAAGAAAUUGUAUAUAACUUGACCAACAAUGUGGAUUUGGAGAACACCAAAAGGAAAAUGGAACUGUACCAGAAGGAUAACAAAGAAGUCAUUCAGAAAAAUAAGAUAAAACUGACGCGGGAGCAGGAAGAGUUGGAAGAAGCGUUAGAGGCAGAGCGACAGGAAAGUGAGCGAAGGCGACUGCUCAUACAGAAAGAAGAACAAAUACAGCAGAUCCUGAAAAGGAAGAAUAAGCAGGCACUCUUGGAUGAUCUGGAGAAGUCCAAUCUUCCUGCUUCAUUGCUUUUAGCUCAGCAUAAGGACAGAUCUACUCAGCUAGAAAUGCAAGUGGAAAAACCCAACCAGGUCAGACCAGUCACGUUUUCCACUGGGAUCAAAAUGGGGCAGACUAUUUCACUAGCUCCUAUUCCAAAAGUAGAGGAAGUUCUGUAUACGUAUCAGCCUCUGCAAGUGGAGACGUAUGGACCGCAAGUUCCGGAGCUUGAAAUGCUGGGAAGGCUGGGGCACUCCCUAAACCUCCAUAGCUUCAAACUUCUCAUACCUCUUGCAUGGUGCCUAUAAAGACUGCCUAAAGGAACUCUUUUGUAUUGCUUUAGCAUACUGUAGAAAUCCUACAGGUUUUGUUGUAGGAUUUUGGAAGGACGCAAGUUCAAUAUAGAGGAGGUUGAUUAGCACCAAUUUUUCCAGCCAAAUGGAAAUCAAGGAAAGGAGUGCAGCUUUUAGUAUCUCGCCCACGUGCGAGCCGCUUCUCCCCAGGAUGUCGCUGGGGGCUACACUUCCUCUCUUGCUUGCAGCCGAGCCUUACAGGAUGCCUUCAGUGGUCUAUUCUGGCACCCCAAUUAGCCGGCAUGCUUCAGCCUCUGAUCAAGGGACACCAAACGGAGCAAGGAGUAAAACUGCUGCCAUGUGCACAAUGGCUACACUGCAGUCCCUAUUCUGUGUAAAACCAGCUGUGUGUAAGUGUUAGAGGAAAUAACAGCAUUUGUAAAAUGUCAAUGCAUUUUUGUAUAGAGGGAAACUUGUUAGUCAUGAAGCACAUGCAGUCAUGGAGCUGACAGAGGCUGAAGCAUUAAGCCAUGUCUAAUGGAAGAUGUGAAUAACUCAGCUGUGUAUGCUUGAGGUUUAAAGAAAUACACUUGGAAUUUUUUUUUUUAAAGCCAGACUUCAAUAAAAAAAGUUUGUGGCUUUACUCUUAUUGCAGGGUUUUAUCUGCACAGGCAUUUAAAUGCCAUUUUGAUUAUAACAUUUAGUGUCAGUAUUCAAGCCUACAUUUUCUUCCCAUAAAACUAGUUUCUCCAGUUUAGACAAGUGGGGUUUUCCUCCUGCCAGCUGGAUGAGAUGAGAAACCUUGGAGCUGUGCUGACACAACUCUUGUACAGGAUCCUUACCCAUGUCCCUUGGUUCUUACCUUUGUCUGGAAAACAGAUCUUUAGCUGGAAGUCCUUCAAGUGAGUUUCUCUACAAGAAAUCUAAGAAGCCUUGAUACAAGGCUAAGUCAUUAGCGUUGUCAAAAUUGGGGUUAUUUUUUUUUUCCCUGAUAAGCUCCAUUUGAUUGUAUGUUCAGAGAUUCUUUGAGCAGGAACCUCCCUUUGUCAUCUGGCUUUUGGGACGACCCUUGUCACUCCAUCUGCUGUUUUUACAUGUUCCUUCCCCUCUCCUUAUAGCAGAAUGUAGACUAAUUGCAGCAGAGAUGGUCUUCCUGUGGCAGGACUGGUCUUUGCCAUGGGUGUGUGUAUAAACUGCAGGAGACUGGAAACCGCUCAGGAUAGUGUGUGCCUCAAGAGUAAAUAAAGCCUGGCCCACGUUUUAUGGGUCAUCUGUUAAUAGCUGUUUAAUGCUGCUCUGAGGAGUGCAUUGAAUGAGUGAAUUUUUUCUGUGUUGUAAUAAAGAGAAGAAUAAGCUCUA